rnacentral:lncRNA from 1 species
UUGGGUAAAAUAACGAUUUGUAUAGAAUCAAUAUGUCCGGACAAAGGGAUAGCUUCUUGAUAUAUACUGUGAGACAAGAUCAAAGAAUACGUCAGUUGCAAAAAAAAAAAAAAGAUCAAAGAAUACGUAUUUCAUACAGAAUUAUACGUAACUAAUAAAGAGAAAGAGAGAAUAAUAAAAUUAAAUGACAUGUGAGGUCUCAUCAUGAGUCCAAC